CAAGUAGAAUAAAUGAUCGCGGCUGUACAGACGCAAGGGUACAGGUGAGGAAAGUCCGGGCUUCGCAGGGCAGGAUGCCGGAUAACGUCCGGUGGAGGCGACUCCAAGGCUAGUGCAACAGAAAAUAAACAGCUAUGCGGUACCUAAUGGGUACAUUGCAUAGUGAUGGUGGAAUGGCAGUGUAAGAGACUACCGCUGCAACGGUAACGGUGCAGGCUGUGUAAACCCCAUCCGAAGCAAGACCGAAACGAAAGCGACAGAUUGGCCCGAUCUGCUUUCAGGUGGGUCGCUCGAGAUAUCCGGUAACGGAUAUCCUAGAUAGAUGAUCAUUCACGACAUAACCCGGCUUAUCGUUCUGCUUGGUUU
rnacentral:RNase_P_RNA from 1 species